UACGUAGGGUGCAAGCGUUAAUCGGAAUUACUGGGCGUAAAGCGUGCGUAGGCGGUUCGCUGUGUCCGAUGUGAAAGCCCCGGGCUUAACCUGGGAAUGGCAUUGGAAACUGGCGGGCUUGAGUGCGGCAGAGGGGGGUGGAAUUCCGCGUGUAGCGGUGAAAUGCGCAGAUAUCAGGAGGAACACCAAUGGCGAAGGCAGCUCGCUGGGACGUGACUGACGCUGAGACGCGAAAGCGUGGGGAGCAAACAGG
rnacentral:rRNA from 1 species